rnacentral:rRNA from 1 species
GACGAACGCUUGCGGCGUGCCUAAUACAUGCAAGUCGAACGCAGUGGGGACGGGUGAGUAACACGUGGGUAACCUCCCAUCAGAGGGGAUAACACUUGGAAACAGGUGCUAAACCGAUCCUGAUGGAUGGACCCGUGGUUCAUUAGCUAGUUGGUGAGGUAACGGCUCACCAAGGACACGAUGCAUAGACUACCUGGGAGGGUACGCGGCCACACUGGGACUGAUACACGGCCCAGAAUCCUCCGGUAGGCAGCAGUAGGGAAUCUUCGGCAAUGGACGAAAGUCUGACCGAGCAACGCCGCGUGAGGGAAGAAGGUUUUCGGAGCGUAAAACUCUGUUGUUAGAGAAGCGGUAUCUAACCAGAAAGCCACGGCUAACUACGUGCCAGCAGCCGCGGUAAUAC